GUAGCAGAUAGCCAAGUCUGGUAAGGCACCAGCUAAAGAACCUUAUUCAUUUCCCUUACCCAUUUCGGGUCGAAGAAUGAGGGUUAUCGUAGGGCGCUGGGAUCGGAGGUUCAAAUCCUCCUCUGCUACA
rnacentral:tRNA from 1 species